UUCGACACACUAUCAUUAACUGAAUCCAUAGGUUAAUGAGGCGAACCGGGGGAACUGAAACAUCUAAGUACCCCGAGGAAAAGAAAUCAACCGAGAUUCCCCCAGUAGCGGCGAGCGAACGGGGAGGAGCCCAGAGCCUGAAUCAGUGUGUGUGUUAGUGGAAGCGUCUGGAAAGGCGCGCGAUACAGGGUGACAGCCCCGUACACAAAAAUGCACAUGCUGUGAGCUCGAUGAGUAGGGCGGGACACGUGGUAUCCUGUCUGAAUAUGGGGGGACCAUCCUCCAAGGCUAAAUACUCCUGACUGACCGAUAGUGAACCAGUACCGUGAGGGAAAGGCGAAAAGAACCCCGGCGAGGGGAGUGAAAAAGAACCUGAAACCGU
rnacentral:rRNA from 1 species